rnacentral:rRNA from 1 species
AACGAACGCUGGCGGCAUGCCUAACACAUGCAAGUCGAACGAGACCUUCGGGUCUGGUGGCGCACGGGUGCGUAACGCGUGGGAACCUGCCCUUAGGUUCGGAAUAACUCCCCGAAAGGGGUGCUAAUACCGGAUAAUGUCUUCGGACCAAAGAUUUAUCGCCUUUGGAUGGGCCCGCGUUGGAUUAGCUAGUUGGUAGGGUAAAAGCCUACCAAGGCGACGAUCCAUAGCUGGUCUGAGAGGAUGAUCAGCCACACUGGGACUGAGACACGGCCCAGACUCCUACGGGAGGCAGCAGUGGGAAAUAUUGGACAAUGGGCGAAAGCCUGAUCCAGCAAUGCCGCGUGAGUGAUGAAGGCCUUAGGGUUGUAAAGCUCUUUUACCCGGGAUGAUAAUGACAGUACCGGGAGAAUAAGCUCCGGCUAACUCCGUG